GUCGACGCAGUAGCAAUACUGAGUGGCAAACGGGUGAGUAUAAUGUGGGAAUCUGCCUUUUGGUUUGGAAUAACACGGGGAAACUUGUGCUAAUACCGAAUAAGCCCUUACGGGGAAAGUUUUAACGCCGAAAGAUGAGCCCGCACUUGAUUAGCUAGUUGGUAAGGUAAAAGCUUACCAAGGCAAUGAUCAAUAGCUGUUCUUAGAGGAAGACCAGCCACAUUGGGACUGAGACACGGCCCAGACUCCUACGGGAGGCAGCAGUGGGGAAUCUUGCACAAUGGGGGAAACCCUGAUGCAGCGAUGCCGCGUGAGUGAAGAAGGCCUUUGGGUUGUAAAACUCUUUCGUCGGGGAAGAAAAUGACUGUACCCGAAUAAGAAGGUCCGGCUAACUUCGUGCCAGCAGCCGCGGUAAUACGAAGGGACCUAGCGUAGUUCGGAAUUACUGGGCUUAAAGAGCUCGUAGGUGGUUAAAAAAGUUGAUGGUGAAAUCCCAAGGCUCAACCUUGGAACUGCCAUCAAAACUUUUUAGCUAGAGUGUGAUAGAGGUAAGUGGAAUUUCUAGUGUAGAGGUGAAAUU
rnacentral:rRNA from 1 species